UAGAAACCCCGCCAGGCCCUUUCCUUCACAGCCAGCCACUAACCCAUGAUUCACCCCAGCCACGUCACCGCUUCCAUGCCACACCUCUGCCAUCGCAACAGGGGAACAAUCAGUUGCUGCGUGGUGAGUCCACAACUGUAAUCACUGGUCAUAAAUGACCAGCAAUGUGAAAUAAA